UACGGUUACAUCACGUUGAGACACCAGUUCACGUACGAUCAUCGAAGUUAAGCAAUGUCAAGCCUAGUCAAUACCUAGAUGGGUGACCACUUGAGAAUAACAGGUGCU